AUUAAACUGUGAACACCACCUUAAAUAGUUUAUAAUGUAUUUAGCAUGUAUUACACAGUAAGGUGUAAUUUUAGAAUAUAUAUGUUAUGACAUUUUUAAAGUUCAAAGAUAUAAUUGGAACUUUUUCUCCCUAAAGAUGUAAGAGAUCUGAGCCUCAGAAGUACAAAGUGAUAAUUAACAUUAUUCUCUGAUUUAAUUAGAGGGGGACAUCCAUACCUGACUGGGCUGGCAGUGGCUGGAGGAGCAUAUUACCUUGGGCUAGAAGGAGCCAUUAUUGGGCCCAUUCUUCUUUGUGUAUUGGUUGUUGCCUCAAACAUCUAUAGUGCAAUGUUAGUAAGUCCCUCAUCGACAUUGCCUACACCUUCAACAACACCAUGGCCAUUACAUGUACAACGGCCAUUUAGGGAAAAUCUUCAGGAGAUGAAGCAAUCAGAUGAGUGAUAGACUUGGAGAAGUUGUCACAUCUUUCAUUCACCUCAGGAGCUGUGGCCUUUUAAUUCCUUUAUGGUGUAUCUUGUCAUGUGUGUGACACCAGCCUUCACCUACAAGGUUCUACAAGGUUGCCUUUUAUACCAACUUCACUGAAGAGAUCCAACAUACAGUACACGUCAAUCUCUGUCCUGUUUUUCAUUGAAAGUGAUACUCUUAAAACAACAGUCAAGCAGAACCACUGCAGACCCUGACUGCAAAUCAUAGAUAAGGUUUUCUGUGUAAAUUUAUUCUCUAUACCAAUUGUUUGCUUUUAUAGCAAUGAAAAGCAUAUUAGCAGAAAAACUUUCACAGAUAACUCUUUUUUAUUGGGCUCAAGAAUCUCACUAGUGAUAACUACUGACUAUUUGCAGCUUUUGUGGUAACUACAGUUACUUAUACACCAGUUCAGCCUUUUAAAUGGACAGUAAAUAUUUUUUGUAGGCACCUCAGGUAUGUAUUGCCUAAUAUAUCCAUCUUACUUUAUCAAUUUUCUAGGGUAUUUUUAGCCCCUCCCUCCUUGUGCUUGAAUGAUAUAGCCAAUCAGAUGCCAUGCUGCCUCCACAAUUGAGAAUAAAUGGAGUGCACGCAUGGCUGCUAAGCAUAGUGGUUGUGCAUCUCUGUUCAUUUAUAUUUUAGGAGCUGGGAGCAUGCCCCGUUACAGUUUGAAGGACAGCUGCAUGACAGCAGUUGGACCAUCCUAAUUUUUUUUUCUAAACUUUAAAAAAAAAAAAAAAAAAAUAUUGAAAGGUUAGCUGGAAGUGUGUCUACUAAGCAAGCACCCAAGGCUGUGCUAAAAAAUAUAUAUUAGAAAAUGAUUUAUACAAUAAGACUACAUUGGACAAUGCAGUCCUGCAAAAAUGUUUGCCAUACGUUAAAGCAUUUGUAUCCGUUGUGCUCACCUUUUGAAUGACCAUGUUACUCAUAAUAGCAAUACACAGUUCUGCAAAAGCAUUUGAAAAGUUUAAACAUAAAUGUAUUUACUACCACUUGCAUAUUUGUUCCAUUGCCAAUUAAAUAGCACUUUAAGCAUUUUCAAAUGCAAAUGUUUUCUUUUGAUACUUUUUCAUGAGAUGUAAUUUACUUAGUUUUGUACAAUAUGUUAGUAUUUAGUAGAGGCAGGAUUGUACAGUUUGUCUGAAUUAUAUUUAGUGCAUUGCUUGUUCUUGUAUUGCACUACCCUUAAGCAUUGAAGUGUUGUCUCAUUAAAAACAAAAAUGCCCAGGAGCUAAGCUAUCUCAAAUGUGACAUUAGGUAACAUCUGGUAUAAUAGCUACAUUUUGUAAGGAUAUCGAUCACAGCACCAAAAUGUAUUUCUAUUUUGUUCACUAAUAAAAAUGUGUUAUUUAAAGCAA